rnacentral:rRNA from 1 species
AUUGAACGCUGGCGGCAAGCCUAACACAUGCAAGUCGACCGCGUGGCGGACGGGUGAGUAAUGUCUGGGAAACUGCCUGAUGGAGGGGGAUAACUACUGGACACGGUAGCUAAUACCGCAUACCAUCGGAUGUGCCCAGAUGGGAUUAGCUAGUUGGUGGGGUAAAGGCUCCCCUAGGCGACGAUGCCUCGCUAGUCUGAGAGGAUGACCAGCCACACUGGAACUGAGACACGGUCCAGACUCCUACGUGAGGUAGCAGUGGGGAAUAUUGCACAAUGGGCGCAAGCCUGAUGCAGCCAUGCCGCGUGUAUGAAGAAGGCCGUCGGGUUGUAAAGUACUUUCAGCGGGGAGGCGUUACCCGCAGAAGAAGCACCGGCUAACUCCGUGCCAGCCGCGGCGGUAAUUC